CAUAAAACGGCUGGAAUCAUAUUCUAACUCAUUCCUAUCAACAUUCCUCUCAAUUUUAAUCCUUGGCUGAUUUGGGUUGAUUGAUUUCUGGGUUUUAUUGUUCUUAGUCUAAUCAAGAGACCCGUCGACUGCUCGUGCUUCGGAGUCUACGCAGGGUUAGCUGUUUGCCAAGAUUUACGUGGAUAAGCAAGCAGUUUAUGAUUUGAAAGCUGGUCCACUCCGAUUCUUUUGAUUCUUCGGAGGUUUUUAUGUUAUUUAACUAGUUACUGUUUUCGAACUC